rnacentral:ncRNA from 1 species
GAGUUGUAUGGAAGAAGAUUGGCAUUUCCAUGAUAAAAAUGGAAACCAUUCUGGUGACCUUAGGACACAAUGUGGUUGAGACCUUCCUUGCCACCUGCUUUUUUUU